rnacentral:lncRNA from 1 species
ACAGAGAUCCUCCUGUCUCAGCCUCUUGGAAUUAAAGGACUAUGUCAUCAUACCUAGCACCUUCAUUUCCUUUGCUUCAUUGUUUUUAAAAGUAUAUCAGAGCCUGACUUAUACCUCUGCUUCACUCAUUAAAGACAAAGCUGUAGAACAGAGCUUUCAACAAUAGUUUACUGGCCUAGUUAGGAAAGAAAUAGGGUUGCCUUAAAACUAAUGAAGAAACGUUCUUAAGCAUAAAUGAAAGUUUAUUUGGCAAGUAUGUGGCCAGAAUUGCCUUUUUUUUUUAAAUAAUAAUAAGCACAAUAUAUACUGGCCAAAUAUAAAUUAAACAUAGGAUACUGGCAGUAUUUUUGUAACUGCAAGUGAAGAAUUUGUUUGGUACUUCUCAAGGAAUAACAGUUCUUCACUCAGAUAGGCAUAUUGACUUGGUACUAAGUUCUGUUUAAUGUUUUUUUUCUUCAUAGUAACUUACAGGGAAAUGCUUUAACAAAGAAGAGGAUAAGUUAAUAAGACCUUCCAAAAUAUAUGUGAUUAUAGAUCUAAAGUUGAGCCUUCUUAGCCUCGAGGAGUGACUGGGGGAGAUCAACCGUCACACAAAAUCAGAACGUGGAAAUGAAAGUGUUCUUGAUUCCAGUUUGAUUUUCUUUGUAGUGCGUUUAUCUUUUGAUUGGACAAAUUUGAAAAUUCACCAAGGCCACUCUGACAGUCCAGAUGUAUCACUUUUGUGCAAUUAUGACCAUCCAUUAACAUUUAUUGUGCCAGAUGAUGGAUUUAUACAGGCUAAUCUGCUGAAAUUCCCUUCCCAAGGAAUCAAUCUUUCUAACAGAAGGAGGCUCCAACUUUGUGUAGUUGCACGGCUCUUUUUUAAAAAUGUGACUUGAGCCAGGCAAGGCGAUCCACACCUUUAAUUCUGCACAUGAAAGGUAGAGACAGGCAGAUCUCUAGAAGUUAGAGGACUGCCAAGGAUACACAGUAAGACCCUUGUCUGAAAAACAGUAUGACUGGAGGAGUAGACAAGUUUUUAAUCCCUCUGUUCAUGAGGCAGAGUCAGGCAAAUCUAUGAGUUCAAGGCUGGCCUGGUCUACGUAACAAAGUUCCAGAGCUACGUAGUGAGAUUCUGUCUUUAAUUAUUCUUUAUUUUCAAGUAUUCAGUCAUUGUUGGAAAUCAGAUUGUAAGAAGAGCCUUCAGAUUGAUGAUGGUCACGAGAGGAUCCCGUUAUGCUAUUGUCUUACCUUUUGGAGAAGAAAACUUUCCAAGCUCCAUAUAGUGACAGCCUGGGCUGGGAAGAUUAUAAGUUUGAGGCCAGUGUGGGCUCAUAGCAAACCCCUAUCUUU